UAGACUUCUGGGAUUGACAGCAGCCUACUGAGCUAGGCUGGCCACCCUGUGUUCCCUGCAGCUACUGUGGAGGGAUCUGACGGCCCCCUUUUAUACCCUGGGGAGCCAACCAAGCCUGCCCCGCCUACACUGUGGUGCUUCCUAGAGAGCUGCUGACCGUGAAGGAAACCCAACAGUAGAGCCCUGCUGGAUCUGACGACAAAGUCCCUUCCAUCAACAGCAGAGUCGGGAGGGACUUGAAGCCUUCUCCCACCAGCUCUCCUGAAGCAUGCAUCCUCACACGAUUCCAGCUGAAGAGGAAUACUCUCCCAAAGUAGGACCACAGCCAGAGCCAUCAGAGAAGCCUCCAGUCAACACAAGAACGGUAUUCAUUAUUUUUCCCUGUGUCCCAUGAGCAUCUGGCUAGUGGACCCAGAUCUGGUGAGAGCAGCUCCCACUGACUGUACUCAGCUCUCUCAAGACCGCUGACCCCUCCUCUUCUAACUCCAUGGUGUGGGCGCCAAUAUUGCUCCUCUGCUUUAUAGGGACAGAGCUCGGCGUCUGUCUUGGAGCAGACCCACCCUCCUGAAUGCCUCAGGUCUGGAACUCACCCACCAUUCAGGAUCUGGUCUUGCCAGGGACCUCCCUGUGGGCCCUGACACAUGGCAGGGUGUGGAGUUCACCCAGACCCUGAAUCAGAAUCUCCAUUUAAACAAGAUUCCCAGAGCUGGAACAUUCUCUGCUGUCUUUAGACCGACCAUGCAAAGGGCACUAAGUAGCUCCUACUUACACCCUGCUCUAUGAGGACACCAAUGUCCCCAAGUCCCUCAGUGUGGAUCUGGAGUCCAGCAAUGAAGAGUGCGGCUGAGUGCCUGAGCUCAGCUCAGGAGGAACCAGGAAGCCUGGAGAAGAGCCUGGGGUGAUGACCUAAGAAGAGUUCAAGGCCAGCCUGGUCUAGAAAUGGUUUAUGGAGGAGGGUCCUCAUCUCCCUCCUCCAGGAACAGCUGAGGACUGAGUUUUUGGAAAGAACCCAGCAGCUGUGUGAGAAGACUUAUACUCCAGGUUUCUUCUAACCGAGGAACCCUGGCCCCGCAGAAGAGAGGAUGGUGUACUAUCAGGCCGGACAACGGCAGAGAUGGAGCCACGGUCAGGGCUGCAGAAGAUGCUGAAAGAGCCCAGUCACGGUCCGUCUUGCCCUGAGGCGCCACUCUCCUUGGCCACCUUUCAUGGUGGCUCAGCCUGCCUGCCUGCCUCUUGGAAGGAAGGUGACCCUGGGUAUAUCUCUCUAGUGUCAAGCCUGUGGCUACAGAACACAUUUAAGUCAGACCCCGACGGUCUUGUCCUCUCAAGUGUCGGUUCUCUUUCAUGGCUCCUCCCCAUCUUCUUCUCUUGGUUUUGGUUUCUGAAGCAAGGUCUUAGUCUAAAGCCCAGGCUGGCCUCAUGCUUGUGAUCCCCCUGCCUGGGGUUUCUGCGCGUUGGAAGCCUGCAUUGCCAUCCCCAGUCCUACACUCUCACGCAGCAAGCACAUCAAAUACUGGAGCAAACGUUAUCUCCAAGUUCCUCAUGGGUCUAAGUAAAGGAAGGCUCAAAAAUGGUUAA